rnacentral:rRNA from 1 species
AGCGAACGCUGGCGGCAGGCUUAACACAUGCAAGUCGAGCGGGCGUAGCAAUACGUCAGCGGCAGACGGGUGAGUAACACGUGGGAACGUACCUUUUGGUUCGGAACAACUGAGGGAAACUUCAGCUAAUACCGGAUAAGCACUAACGGGGAAAGAUUUAUCGCCGAAAGAUCGGCCCGCGUUUGAUUAGCUAGUUGGUGAGGUAAUGGCUCACCAAGGCGACGAUCAGUAGCUGGUCUGAGAGGAUGAUCAGCCACACUGGGACUGAGACACGGCCCAGACUCCUACGGGAGGCAGCAGUGGGGAAUAUUGGACAAUGGGGGCAACCCUGAUCCAGCCAUGCCGCGUGAGUGAUGAAGGCCCUAGGGUUGUAAAGCUCUUUUGUGCGGGAAGAUAAUGACGGUACCGCAAGAAUAAGCCCCGGCUAACUUCGUGCCAGCCGCCGCCGUAA